rnacentral:rRNA from 1 species
AUGGGCGCCGGCGGAUUUCCCUGCCGCCUCCGCCUCCUCCUCCUCCUCCUCGCCGCCGUGCUCCUCCUGCUCCUGUCGACGGCGUCGUGCGCCGACCUCUACGCGGUCGUCUACAAGGGCUGCGCCAACCAGACCUUCGCGGGGGGCGCGCCGCCGCCCACCGUCGCGGCGCUCUCCUCCGCGCUCGCCGCGCAGUCGGCCUCCGCCAAGUUCUACAAGACCUCCUCGGCGUCGGCCUCCUCGGCCUCCGCCUCCGUCUUCGGCCUCUUCCAGUGCCGCGGCGACCUCUCCGGCCCGGACUGCUCCUCCUGCGUCGCGCGCGCCAUGUCCUCCUGGCGCUACCUCUGCGGCGGCGCCGUCGCGGCCCGCGUCCAGCUCAACGGCUGCCUCGCGCUCUACGAGAUCUCCAGCUUCCCCCAGGUCCCCGGCGUUCAGAUGCUCUUCAAGACCUGCGGCUCUGGCGGGGGCGCCGCCGACGCCCCGGACUUCGAGACCCGCCGCGGCACCGCCUUCAGCCAGCUCGAGGGCGGAGCGGGCUCCAGCGCGGGGGGGUUCUUCGUCACCAGCUUCCAGCAGGUGUACGCGCUGGCGCAGUGCGAGGGCGACCUCUCCAACGUCAACUGCAGCAACUGCGUCACCCAGGCCGUGCAGCGCGUCGCCGUCGAGUGCGGCGGCGCCCCCUCCGGCCAGGUCUACCUCGACAAGUGCUACAUUACCUACAGCUACUACCCCCACGGCGUGCCCCACGGCGGCGGCGGCGGCCUCGGAGGUAUACUACCGUUCCUUCUUCCUCCAAACAUCUGUAGUGCGGGAAGUGGAGGAAGUUGUGGGCCGAGCUCGUGCGGGAGAUUGGCAGGCUCGCACCGGGGCCCCGCCGCCGCCCCCGCCCCGCGUUCUCGUCGCGGCGCGCCGUCGCCGCGCUCCCGGACCCGUCGCCGCGGCCGCUUCGCGACAACCGCGCCAGGCUCUCCGACAGGCACUGCCACUGGAUACUGCAGUCGCUGGGCCAGGCCGUGCACAUCAUCGCGCCCGACGGCAAGCUCCUCUACUGGUGAGACACGCUCCUUGGCUUGGUUUGGUCGCGCAUGCAUGGUGCCCACCAGGUGUUCGAUCAAAAUGCUGAACCAGUACUGUUACUAUGAAUAG